UAUUGGAUGUGCGAGAGAGGGAGAGAAAACGCGUCAGGUGGGGACAAGAGAGAAAAAAGCAGUUCAAUCCCACGCAACUUCCUCUCUCUCGCAUCUCCUUAUCUCCGCCCGGCCGACAGCUAGGGUUCCGCCGGCGCCGCCAAAGCCACCUCCACCAUACCUUCUCCUCCAGCCUAUCCCCACCGUCGCCCCAGGCUAGAAGGCGGGUACCGCCGUCACGAGCAUGACCCCCUCCUUGCUGGCGGGCUCAGCAACGACUUCGUCUCCAUCUGGAACCCAUCGCCGCCGCGGCUGCCGCGGCUACCAUCCGACCCGAGAGGAGCAGCUCGCAGUAGGUCUUCCUCGUCUCCAUCUCCAAGCCCCACGCGAGCGCCGGCAGUGGCACGGAGCUGGCGAAGAAGGUGACUGUGGUUGGAUCUGUCGCACGAGAGGCGGCGGCGCGAUGUGGCCUUGCAAUACUCUUAGGCAUUGGUGAAAUCCGUUCUGCAAUCUAGGAACGAGGCCAACUUCAGGAGCUGAUUGAAGCUGCACUAAAAUUAGCUACAAAGUAACAUCAAAACAAUUUGUGGGCAACCUCCUACAGGAAGAAAAUUACAGUUUGGAUGAGGAUUUGUAGUCCAUAGGAUGGUCAGGUCCUGAUAGGUUCAAAAGAUCAGGUCAUACCAUCAUGACUAUAUUCGAUUUGGAUCCUUAGGUACAUCAAAUGUGUCUAUCCAAGAGGAGCACAAUUUUAGAGGAGUAUUUCUUUAUGGUUCUGAUUCCCCACCCCCAUGUUAAUAUCUCUGUAUGAUUACCACGUUACAAGUCUUCUUUUAUAUCCAAAAGGGGGACUAGCAAUCUACAUCAAGCUUAUUGGAUUGGUUGUUCAUGCCUACAUCAAUGUACUGUUCAACAUCAAGCUUAUCGGAUCAACUGUUCAUGCCUAAAUCAACCAAACAAGUAUGGAGUUAUCUUAUGUUAUUUCAAGUGUUUCGAAGAAAAUGAGUAUCAAAUGGAGUCCAAACAGAAUGAAACCUUCAGGAGCGAUCUUUUUGGAACAAAUGCAAUCCAGGAGACUUGGAGUGGACGUCAAGAAGCAGCC